rnacentral:rRNA from 1 species
UACAGAGGUCCCAAGCGUUGUUCGGAUUCAUUGGGCGUAAAGGGUCCGCAGGUGGCAAUGUAAGUCUGCUGUCAAAGAAUGAGGCUUAACCUCAUCAAGGCAGUGGAAACUACAUAGCUAGAGUACGGUCGGGGUAGAAGGAAUUCCUGGUGUAGCGGUGAAAUGCGUAGAGAUCAGGAAGAACACCGGUGGCGAAAGCGUUCUGCUAGACCUGUACUGACACUGAGGGACGAAAGCUAGGGGAGCGAACAGG